rnacentral:rRNA from 1 species
GGAGGAAAGCAGGGGAUCGUAAGACCUUGUGCUUUUGGAGCGGCCGAUGCCUGAUUAGCUAGUUGGUGGGGUAAAGGCCUACCAAGGCUUCGAUCAGUAGUUGGUCUGAGAGGACGACCAGCCACACUGGGACUGAGACACGGCCCAGACUCCUACGGGAGGCAGCAGUGGGGAAUUUUGGACAAUGGGGGCAACCCUGAUCCAGCCAUGCCGCGUGAGUGAAGAAGGCCUUCGGGUUGUAAAGCUCUUUCAGUCGGGAAGAAAAGGUUGUGACUAAUAAUUGCAAUUCAUGACGGUACCGACAGAAGAAGCACCGGCUAACUACGUGCCAGCAGCCGCGGUAAUACGUAGGGUGCGAGCGUUAAUCGGAAUUACUGGGCGUAAAGGGUGCGCAGGCGGUCUUGUAAGUCAGAUGUGAAAUCCCCGGGCUUAACCUGGGAACUGCGUUUGAAACUACAAAGCUA